UCAGUGAAAUCGAGUAGGGCGGGACACGUGAUAUCCUGUCUGAAUAUGGGGGGACCAUCCUCCAAGGCUAAAUACUACUGACUGACCGAUAGUGAACCAGUACCGUGAGGGAAAGGCGAAAAGAACCCCUGUGAGGGGAGUGAAAUAGAACCUGAAACCGUGUACGUACAAGCAGUAGGAGCACCUUCGUGGUGUGACUGCGUACCUUUUGUAUAAUGGGUCAGCGACUUAUAUUCAGUGGCAAGGUUAACCAUCUAGGGGAGCCGUAGGGAAACCGAGUCUUAACUGGGCGUUCAGUCUCUGGAUAUAGACCCGAAACCAGGUGAUCUAGCCAUGGGCAGGUUGAAGGUUGAGUAACAUCAACUGGAGGACCGAACCGACUAAUGUUGAAAAAUUAGCGGAUGACUUGUGGCUAGGGGUGAAAGGCCAAUCAAACCUGGAGAUAGCUGGUUCUCCCCGAAAGCUAUUUAGGUAGCGCCUCGGACGAAUACUACUGGGGGUAGAGCACUGUUAAGGCUAGGGGGUCAUCCCGACUUACCAACCCUUUGCAAACUCCGAAUACCAGUAAGUACUAUCCGGGAGACACACGGCGGGUGCUAACGUCCGUCGUGGAGAGGGAAACAACCCAGACCGCCAGCUAAGGUCCCAAAUUACUACUAAGUGGGAAACGAUGUGGGAAGGCUCAGACAGCCAGGAUGUUGGCUUAGAAGCAGCCAUCAUUUAAAGAAAGCGUAAUAGCUCACUGGUCGAGUCGGCCUGCGCGGAAGAUGUAACGGGGCUAAGUA
rnacentral:rRNA from 1 species